rnacentral:rRNA from 1 species
GACGAACGCUGGCGGCGUGCUUAGCACAUGCAAGUCGAGCGGUAAGGCCCUUUCGGGGGUACACGAGCGGCGAACGGGUGAGUAACACGUGGGUGACCUGCCCUCAGCUCUGGGAUAAGCCUGGGAAACCGGGUCUAAUACUGGAUAUGACUCCAUGACGCAUGUUGUGGGGUGGAAAGCCUUGUGCGGCUGAGGAUGGGCCCGCGGCCUAUCAGCUUGUUGGUGGGGUGAUGGCCUACCAAGGCGACGACGGGUAGCCGGCCUGAGAGGGCGACCGGCCACACUGGGACUGAGACACGGCCCAGACUCCUACGGGAGGCAGCAGUGGGGAAUCUUGCGCAAUGGGCGAAAGCCUGACGCAGCGACGCCGCGUGAGGGAUGACGGCCU